GACGAACGCUGGCGGCGCGCUUAACACAUGCAAGUCGAACGGAAAGGCCUGCUUUCCCUUGUGGAUUGCGGGUACUCGAGUGGCGAACGGGUGAGUAACACGUGAGUGAUCUGCCCCCAACUUGGGUAUAAGCCUGGGAAACUGGGUCUAAUUCCCGAUAGGACUGCAGGGUGGUGCCUGUGGUGGAAAACGAUUUUCUAGUGGUUGGGGAUGAGCUCGCGGCCUAUCAGCUUGUUGGUGGGGUAAUGGCCUACCAAGGCGGCGACGGGUAGCCGGCCGGAGAGGGUGGACGGCCACAUUGGGACUGAGAUACGGCCCAGACGCCUACGGGAGGCAGCCGUGGGGGAUAUUGCACAAUGGGCGGAAGCCUGAUGCAGCGACGCCGCGGGGGGGAUGACGGCCUUCGGGUUGUAAACUCCUUUCGACCGCGAGGAAGCCACGUGGUUGGAAGGGUGGUGACGGUAGUGGUAGAAGAAGCACCGGCUAACUACGUG
rnacentral:rRNA from 1 species